rnacentral:rRNA from 1 species
AACGAACGCUGGCGGCAGGCUUAACACAUGCAAGUCGAACGCCCCGCAAGGGGAGUGGCAGACGGGUGAGUAACGCGUGGGAACAUACCCUUUCCUGCGGAAUAGCUCCGGGAAACUGGAAUUAAUACCGCAUACGCCCUACGGGGGAAAGAUUUAUCGGGGAAGGAUUGGCCCGCGUUGGGUUAGCUAGUUGGUGGGGUAAAGGCCUACCAAGGCGACGAUCCAUAGCUGGUCUGAGAGGAUGAUCAGCCACAUUGGGACUGAGACACGGCCCAAACUCCUACGGGAGGCAGCAGUGGGGAAUAUUGGACAAUGGGCGCAAGCCUGAUCCAGCCAUGCCGCGUGAGUGAUGAAGGCCUUAGGGUUGUAAAGCUCUUUCACCGAUGAAGAUAAUGACGGUAGUCGGAGAAGAAGCCCCGGCUAACUUCGUGCCAGCCGCCGCAGUAAUAC